UAAGGAAUAUUGCUCAAUGGGAGAAAUCCUGAAGCAGCAACGCCGCGUGGAGGAUGAAGGGUCUAUGACUUGUAAACUCCUGUAAAGAAGGAAAAAAUCCCAUUUGAUGGGAGAUGAUGGUACUUCUGGAGUAAGCCCCGGCUAACUACGUGCCAGCAGCCGCGGUAAUACGUAGGGGGCAAGCGUUGUCCGGAUUUACUGGGUGUAAAGGGUGCUCAGGCGGAUUUGUAAGUCAGAGGUGAAAUCUUACAGCUUAACUGUGAAACUGCCUUUGAUACUGCAAGCCUAGAGUAUGGAAGAGAGUGAUGGAAUAUCUGGUGUAGCAGUGAAAUGCGUAGAUAUCAGAUAGAACACCAAUGGCGAAGGCAGUCACUUGGUCCAUUACUGACGCUAAAGCACGAAAGCGUGGGUAGCAAACA
rnacentral:rRNA from 1 species